GAACGAACGCUGGCGGCAUGCCUAACACAUGCAAGUCGAACGAGACCUUCGGGUCUAGUGGCGCACGGGUGCGUAACGCGUGGGAACCUGCCCUUAGGUUCGGAAUAACUCCCCGAAAGGGGUGCUAAUACCGGAUAAUGUCUUCGGACCAAAGAUUUAUCGCCUUUGGAUGGGCCCGCGUUGGACUAGCUAGUUGGUAGGGUAAAAGCCUACCAAGGCGACGAUCCAUAGCUGGUCUGAGAGGAUGAUCAGCCACACUGGGACUGAGACACGGCCCAGACUCCUACGGGAGGCAGCAGUGGGGAAUAUUGGACAAUGGGCGAAAGCCUGAUCCAGCAAUGCCGCGUGAGUGAUGAAGGCCUUAGGGUUGUAAAGCUCUUUUACCCGGGAUGAUAAUGACAGUACCGGGAGAAUAAGCGCCGGCUAACUCCGUG
rnacentral:rRNA from 1 species